CCUUAGAAGAAAAUUAAAGGUGCAACCUGCCCUAUGGUUUUUUUAGAGUUAAGAAAUUUAACAAAAAACUAAAACUAAAUGGCCGCGGUAACUCUGACCGUGAUAAUGUAGCGAAAUCAAUCGUCGUUUAAUUGACGACCAGUAUGAAUGGUUAAACGAAUUUUUCACUGUCUCAAAAAUAAGAUCAAUAAAAUUCAAAUAAUAGUGAAGAUGCUAUUUUUAAACUAUAAGACGAGAAGACCCUAUAGAGCUUAACUAUAAUCUAUUUAUAAAAAUCAAUAUCAUAUUGAAGUAAAGAUAGACUGGUAGUUUGGUUGGGGCGACCGUUUUCUAAUAGUAACGAAAACAAACAAAGGAUACAAAUAAUAACAACUUAAUUGUUUAACAUAUAAAUUUAACAAAUACUAAAGUAGGUAUAAUGACCCGUUUAUUUUAAAAAAUAAAAAUAACGAUCAAUAAAUAAAAGCUACCUUAGGGAUAACAGCGUAAUCUUGUUUUAGAGUUCUUAUCGACGACAAGGUUUGCGACCUCGAUGUUGAAUUGCGAUAUCCUGAGGGUGUAGAAGUUCUCAAGGGUUGGUCUGUUCGACCAUUAAAAU
rnacentral:rRNA from 1 species